AUUGAACGCUGGCGGCAGGCCUAACACAUGCAAGUCGAACGAGUGGCGGACGGGUGAGUAAUGUCGGGGAAACUGCCCGAUGGAGGGGGAGAACUACUGGAAACGGUAGCUAAUACCGCAUACCAUCGGAUGUGCCCAGAUGGGAUUAGCUAGUAGGGGGGGUAACGGCUCACCUAGGCGAAGAUCCCUAGCUGGUCUGAGAGGACGACCGGCCACACUGGAACUGAGCACGGGUCCAGACUCCUACGGAAGGCAGCAGUGGGGAAUAUUGCACAAUGGGCGCAAGCCUGAUGCAGCCAUGCCGCGUGUAUUAAGAAGGCCUUCGGGUUGUAAAGUACUUUCAGCGAGGAGGCGUUACUCGCAGAAGAAGCACCGGCUAACUCCGUGCCAGCAGCCGCGGUAAUAC
rnacentral:rRNA from 1 species